CCUACGUGAGGCAGCAGUGGGGAAUAUUGCACAAUGGGGGAAACCCUGAUGCAGCGACGCCGCGUGCGUGAAGAAGUAAUUCGUUAUGUAAAGCUCUAUCAGCAGGGAAGAAAAUGACGGUACCUGAGUAAGAAGCCCCGGCUAACUACGUGCCAGCAGCCGCGGUAAUACGUUGUGGGCAAGCGUUAUCCGGAUUUACUGGGUGUAAAGGGAGCGUAGACGGCAGUGCAAGUCUGGAGUGAAAGGCGGGGGCUCAACCCCCGGACUGCUCUGGAAACUGUACGGCUGGAGUGCAGGAGAGGUAAGUGGAAUUCCUAGUGUAGCGGUGAAAUGCGUAGAGAUUAGGAGGAACACCAGUGGCGAAGGCGGCUUACUGGACUGUAACUGACGUUGAGGCUCGAAAGCGUGGGGAGCAAACAGGAUUAGAUACCCCUGUAGUC
rnacentral:rRNA from 1 species